UAUGAGGGGAGGGUGCUUACUGUCUACCCCCGCCCGGCCCUGGAAUUAGUUUGUUUUGUGCACGUAAAGAAGGGCAGCUCCCAAAGGCCAAUAAGAACUUUAUUAUGCAGUUGUAACUCUUAAGUUGUAAAACCAAUUAGAAGUGUAUUAUUUACCUUGCAAUGGGAGAAAAUUUUUUCAAUCAUUCUUAACUAAACAUAGGAUAAUGGUAUGAACAAAAUCUCUGCACACGACUAACAGAAUGCCGUGGAGUAUGGAACUGAUGCUCUCCAGCAAUGAAGCUCAAACAUACAGAGUAUGGAAAACAUUUUCCCUGACCUGAAUAAGCAUUCACCAGAAGUUACUUCCUGAGGUGAGGAGUUCUGGCACAGCUUGGCAGAGUCCUCUGCUAAGGACUACAAUCAAGGUAUUGGCUGGGACUGAGAUUCUCAUCUGGAGGCUUGACAGAGGAAGAGUCAGCUUCCAAGUCACUCAGAUUGCUGGCAGAAUUCAUUUUCUGGUAGCUACAAGGCUGAAGGAGCUGGCUUCUUGCUGGUCAUUUCCUGAAGUCCUUCCUCAGCUCCUUACCAUCUGGGCCUCCUAACAUGGCCACUUCAGUUUUUCAAAGUCACUAAGAGAGACAGAAAAUCUCUAGAACAAAACAGGUUAUUUUACCAUGUGACAUAAUCAUGAAGUGACGAAGUAACUCUUAUCACCUUUGCCAUAUUCUACACGUUAGAAUCAAGUCAAAUGUCCCACCCAAGGGGAGAGUAUGAUAUAAAGGGAUAAUAUAGAAAGGUGAGUGUUAGGAGCUGAAUAAUGCAACCCAAAAAUUUAUAUGUCAAAGCCGUAACCCUCUGUACCUCAGAAUGUGACUGUAUUUGGAAAUAAGUUACCAUCAUCUGAAUGUUUGCAUACCCACAAAAUUCAUAUAUUGAAACCUACUCACCAAGGUGAUGAUAUUAGGGGGUGGGACAUUUGGGAGAUGAUUAGGUCACGAGGGCUCUGCUCUUGUGAAUGAGAUUGCUGUCCUGAUAAAAGGGGUCCCAGAGAGAUGCCUUGCCCUUUUACCUUGUGAGGACACAAGAAAAGGCAUCAACUUUGAAGCAGAGUGAGUCCUCACCAGACGCUGACUCUGCUGGUGACUUCAUUUUCGACUUCCCAGUGUCUAGAAUUAUGAGCAAUAAGUUUCUGAUGUUUAUAAAUUACCCAGUCUAAGGUAUUUUGUUAUAUUAGCUUAAUCAAAUUCAGACAUAAGGUCUUCAAAGAGACAGUUAAGUUAAAAUGGGUCAUUAGGGUAGGCCCUAAUGCAAUACGGUGGUGCUUUUAUAAGAAAAUUUAAGAGACAGACAAGUGCAGAAAGAAGACCAUGUGAAGACACAGAGAGAAGGUGGCCAUCAACAGGCUAAGGAGAGAGGCUUAGAAAAAGCCAACCAUGCUGAUACCUUGAUCCCAAACUUCUAACCUCCAGAAUCAUGAGAAAAUCAGUGUCUGUUGUUUCAGCCACCCAGUCUGUGAUACUUUGUAGGGUCAUUGGGGUCACUUUUGACUCUACUCACAAGUAAGGAUAUUAUUGGUGGUUUUAAGAUAAUGUCCUAAGAAAC
rnacentral:lncRNA from 13 species